CCUACGGGCGGCAGCAGUGGGGAAUAUUGCACAAUGGGCGCAAGCCUGAUGCAGCCGUGCCGCGUGUGUGAAGAAGGCCUUCGGGUUGUAAAGCACUUUCAGCGGGGAGGAAGGCGUUAAGGUUAAUAACCUUGGCGAUUGACGUUACCCGCAGAAGAAGCACCGGCUAACUCCGUGCCAGCAGCCGCGGUAAUACGGAGGGUGCAAGCGUUAAUCGGAAUUACUGGGCGUAAAGCGCACGCAGGCGGUCUGUCAAGUCGGAUGUGAAAUCCCCGGGCUCAACCUGGGAACUGCAUUCGAAACUGGCAGGCUAGAGUCUUGUAGAGGGGGGUAGAAUUCCAGGUGUAGCGGUGAAAUGCGUAGAGAUCUGGAGGAAUACCGGUGGCGAAAGCGGCCCCCUGGACAAAGACUGACGCUCAGGUGCGAAAGCGUGGGGAGCAAACAGGAUUAGAUACCCGUGUAGUC
rnacentral:rRNA from 1 species